rnacentral:lncRNA from 1 species
GUCAAGUACUGGAAGUAUUUGAUAUUAUCAUACAUUUCUACAAACAUGGAAAUUGAGAAAUUGAAAAAACUAUAAAAAAAAACCCAGAUAUUUGUAUAAAUAAUGAUAAUUUAUGAUAAUACAAAUAGUUAUUAAAAACUUAGUUAUUAUAGGUACCAGGCUUAUCAUUUUAUUCGCCACACGCACGUUUUGUCUACAUAAGACUCACCAGUAACGCGCAAAAUAAUUAGUUUACAUACUUAACACGUAAAAAGUU